rnacentral:rRNA from 1 species
UAGAGUUUGAUCUUGGCUCAGGACAAACGCUGGCGGCGUGCAUUACGCAUGCAAGUCGUACGGGGGUGUGGGGCUUCGGCUCCGCACCCUAGUGGCGAACGGGUGAGUAACGCGUGGGUGACCUGCCCCGAAGCGGGGGAUAACCUGCCGAAAGGUGGGCUAAUACCGCAUGAGGUCGGCCGUUCGUUCGGUCGACGAAAGUCUGGUCUGCUAUCAAGCGGGCUGGGCGCUUCGGGAUGGGCCUGCGUCCGAUUAGCUAGUUGGUAGGGUAAUGGCCUACCAAGGCGAAGAUCGGUAGCUGGUCUGAGAGGACGAUCAGCCACACUGGGACUGAGACACGGCCCAGACUCCUACGGGAGGCAGCAGCGAGGAAUCUUGGGCAAUGGGCGAAAGCCUGACCCAGCAACGCCGCGUGGGUGAUGAAGGCCUUCGGGUCGUAAAGCCCUUUUGUCGGGGAAGAUGAUGACGGUACCCGACGAAUAAGUCUCGGCUAACUACGUGCCAGCAGCCGCGGUAAUACGUAGGAGGCGAGCGUUGUCCGGAUUUACUGGGCGUAAAGAGCGCGUAGGCGGUUCGCUAAGUCCGAUGUAAAAUCUCCCGGCCUAACUGGGAGGGGUCAUUGGAAACUGGCGGACUGGAGUGCGGCAGAGGGAGGUGGAAUUCCCGGUGUAGUGGUGAUAUGCGUAGAUAUCGGGAGGAACACCAGUGGCGAAGGCGGCCUCCUGGGCCGUAACUGACGCUGAGGCGCGAAAGCGUGGGGAGCGAACCGGAUUAGAUACCCGGGUAGUCCACGCAGUAAACGAUGGACACUAGGUAUGGGAGGUAUCGACCCCUUCCGUGCCGCAGCUAACGCAAUAAGUGUCCCGCCUGGGGAGUACGGCCGCAAGGCUAAAACUCAAAGGAAUUGACGGGGGCCCGCACAAGCAGCGGAGCGUGUGGUUUAAUUCGACGCAACGCGAAGAACCUUACCAGGGCUUGACAUGCCGGAGUAGGACCUCGAAAGGGGGACGACCCGUAAAGUCGGGAAUCGGCACAGGUGCUGCAUGGCUGUCGUCAGCUCGUGCCGUGAGGUGUUGGGUUAAGUCCCGCAACGAGCGCAACCCUCGUCGUUAGUUGCACUCUCUAACGAGACUGCCGAGCUAAACUCGGAGGAAGGUGGGGAUGACGUCAAGUCAGCAUGGCCCUUACGUCCUGGGCUACACACACGCUACAAUGGGCGGUACAAUGGGUCGCCAAGCCGCGAGGCGGAGCUAAUCCCAUCAAAGCCGUCCUCAGUUCGGAUUGCAGGCUGAAACCCGCCUGCAUGAAGUCGGAGCUGCUAGUAACCGCAGGUCAGCAUACUGCGGUGAAUACGUUCCCGGGCCUUGUACACACCGCCCGUCACGUCAUGAAAGCUGGCAACACCUGAAGUCCAUGGGCUAACCCGCAAGGGAGGCAGUGGCCGAGGGUGGGGCUGGUGAUUGGGACGAAGUCGUAACAAGGUAACC